rnacentral:lncRNA from 1 species
CAGCUGGGUCACUGACUGACUAAAAGCUAUACAGUGUGGCAGAUAAAUUCUGAGAAACAGAGGCUCACAGAAUCUAGAACUACAGUUCCAGAAUGACAGUUACAUAAUACACUGUAGUAAUUUCAAUAAAGAGAAAUUAUAGCUAAAUAAACAAGAUAUUUUAAGUUAUUAUUUUGUUUUUCUCCAAAAGGUCGUUACUGAAGAAAAACUAAUUUCUUGAACAUGUUUUCCUAUCUUCUGUCACAGGGGCGUGAGAAAGAUCCUACUUUUUACUAUACUGCAAGGAAGAAGAGCGCAACAAAGCAGAAAAGAGAAGGAUGUAUUCCGCGUCUGGGUUUAGCUGUGCCAAACAUCUAUAUAUUUGUGAAGGACAGAACUGUUUUUGUUUUGUUGUCUCAAAGCUUGCUUCCUGAGGCCUUUCUGAUGAUAAGACUCUGACUGGCGACUUCUAACUAUCUAGGAGGGUGAGUGGUGGUUGUUAUUGUGACACAGUACCUUUGCUUAUGAUUGCAAAGAUAAGCAGGAGCAGGACAAGCUGUCUUUUUCCAGGGGUG